rnacentral:rRNA from 1 species
CUUGCUUCUCUUGAGAGCGGCGGACGGGUGAGUAAUGCCUAGGAAUCUGCCUGGUAGUGGGGGAUAACGUCCGGAAACGGACGCUAAUACCGCAUACGUCCUACGGGAGAAAGCAGGGGACCUUCGGGCCUUGCGCUAUCAGAUGAGCCUAGGUCGGAUUAGCUAGUUGGUGGGGUAAUGGCUCACCAAGGCGACGAUCCGUAACUGGUCUGAGAGGAUGAUCAGUCACACUGGAACUGAGACACGGUCCAGACUCCUACGGGAGGCAGCAGUGGGGAAUAUUGGACAAUGGGCGAAAGCCUGAUCCAGCCAUGCCGCGUGUGUGAAGAAGGUCUUCGGAUUGUAAAGCACUUUAAGUUGGGAGGAAGGGCAGUAAAUUAAUACUUUGCUGUUUUGACGUUACCGACAGAAUAAGCACCGGCUAACUCUGUGCCAGCAGCCGCGGUAAUACAGAGGGUGCAAGCGUUAAUCGGAAUUACUGGGCGUAAAGCGCGCGUAGGUGGUUCGUUAAGUUGGAUGUGAAAUCCCCGGGCUCAACCUGGGAACUGCAUUCAAAACUGACGAGCUAGAGUAUGGUAGAGGGUGGUGGAAUUUCCUGUGUAGCGGUGAAAUGCGUAGAUAUAGGAAGGAACACCAGUGGCGAAAGCGACCACCUGGACUGAUACUGACACUGAGGUGCGAAAGCGUGGGGAGCAA